CCUACGGGAGGCAGCAGUAGGGAAUCUUCCACAAUGGGCGAAAGCCUGAUGGAGCAACGCCGCGUGGGUGAAGAAGGUCUUCGGAUCGUAAAACCCUGUUGUUAGAGAAGAAAGUGCGUGAGAGUAACUGUUCACGUUUCGACGGUAUCUAACCAGAAAGCCACGGCUAACUACGUGCCAGCAGCCGCGGUAAUACGUAGGUGGCAAGCGUUAUCCGGAUUUAUUGGGCGUAAAGGGAACGCAGGCGGUCUUUUAAGUCUGAUGUGAAAGCCUUCGGCUUAACCGGAGUAGUGCAUUGGAAACUGGGAGACUUGAGUGCAGAAGAGGAGAGUGGAACUCCAUGUGUAGCGGUGAAAUGCGUAGAUAUAUGGAAGAACACCAGGGGCGAAAGCGGCUCUCUGGGCUGUAACUGACGCUGAGGUUCGAAAGCGUGGGUAGCAAACAGGAUUAGAUACCCCAGUAGUC
rnacentral:rRNA from 1 species